GAUGAACGCUGGCGGCGUGCCUAAUACAUGCAAGUCGAGCGAACAGACGAGGAGCUUGCUCCUCUGACGUUAGCGGCGGACGGGUGAGUAACACGUGGAUAACCUACCUAUAAGACUGGGAUAACUUCGGGAAACCGGAGCUAAUACCGGAUAAUAUAUUGAACCGCAUGGUUCAAUAGUUAAAUACGGUUUUGCUGUCACUUAUAGAUGAAUCCGCGCCGCAUUAGCUAGUUGGUAAGGUAACGGCUUACCAAGGCAACGAUGCGUAGCCGACCUGAGAGGGUGAUCGGCCACACUGGAACUGAGACACGGUCCAGACUCCUACGGGAGGCAGCAGUAGGGAAUCUUCCGCAAUGGGCGAAAGCCUGAUGGAGCAACGCCGCGUGAGUGAUGAAGGUCUUCGGAUCGUAAAACGCUGUUAUUAGGGAAGAACAAAUGUGUAAGUAACUAUGCACGUCUUGACGGUACCUAAUGAGAAAGCCACGGCUAACUACGUG
rnacentral:rRNA from 1 species